rnacentral:rRNA from 1 species
UAGGGAAUCUUCGGCAAUGGACGGAAGUCUGACCGAGCAACGCCGCGUGAGUGAAGAAGGUUUUCGGAUCGUAAAGCUCUGUUGUAAGAGAAGAACGAGUGUGAGAGUGGAAAGUUCACACUGUGACGGUAUCUUACCAGAAAGGGACGGCUAACUACGUGCCAGCAGCCGCGGUAAUACGUAGGUCCCGAGCGUUGUCCGGAUUUAUUGGGCGUAAAGCGAGCGCAGGCGGUUAGAUAAGUCUGAAGUUAAAGGCUGUGGCUUAACCAUAGUACGCUUUGGAAACUGUUUAACUUGAGUGCAAGAGGGGAGAGUGGAAUUCCAUGUGUAGCGGUGAAAUGCGUAGAUAUAUGGAGGAACACCGGUGGCGAAAGCGGCUCUCUGGCCUGUAACUGACGCUGAGGCUCGAAAGCGUGGGGAGCAAACAGGAUUAGAUACCCUGGUAGUCCACGCCGUAAACGAUGAGUGCUAGGUGUUAGACCCUUUCCGGGGUUUAGUGCCGCAGCUAACGCAUUAAGCACUCCGCCUGGGGAGUACGACCGCAAGGUUG